UGGGGCGUGGCUCAGCGGUAGACUGCUCACCUCACAUGUGCGGGACCCUGGGUUCGAUCCUCAGCACCACAU
rnacentral:tRNA from 1 species